UCUCCAGGGGCCGCCCCUUCCGGGCAUGCGCGAGUCGCGUGCGCAGACUGUCGGAACUUGCUUCAAGAAUUUUCCUGUGGGGCCGUGCGAUAGGCUCAGCACGACCGCUAGAGGGCAGCCACGAGGACUUUGCACCUAACGUGAGCGCAGCUGCUUCCAGGAGGAAGAAGAGAGAAUGAGAGGAAAAACUCGGUUGUUCUGGCUGCUUUUUAAUCCCUACGUCAGAAAAUGAUGAAAGGUGUUUGCCGGGACCCUCCUUUGGAUGACGGCGAUUGCGGAAUGUGAAGCCCGCAAGAAGGAUGAAAAAAAGCCCAAACAUCCUCUUUCCAAAGCCACAUUUGCAAACUUCUUCCUGUGGAGUUGCAAAGACGUCCUUCUCCGCUGCAGCAGCACAGACUGUCGCCAUGGAGACGGAAAUCUCUGAAGCAUCCAAGGUUUUCCAAGGAUUCCCACAGAAGAGCACUGCAGGCUUUGCAGCAGAGGGAUCUGGCAGGAUCCGGUCAAAAAAGUCAAGAUGGCAGCUACCACAGUGCACUAGAAAGGCUGCCUUUUACUCCCUCCUCUCUACAGGGACUCCUCGACUUAUGACCACAAUUGAGCCCCAAAUCAGGAGCCAGGGCUGGAGAAAUGCUGUCUCUUGAAAAAGACUUCCCAAAUCCCGGCGAUGUGGCCAGAGUCGCACCCAUUUCCUCCGUGCAAUUGCAAGAGGAGACAGUUGAUCAAACGCUUUCUUGAGCUUUUACAAUUCCAGGAAAUCUGUGCUGCAAAUGUCAUCGGCAGGUUUCACCCCGUGCUUCUGAAAUGUCAACCCAUCAGCAGGAACAUUGCAAGCUUUUUCUUCUCCCAGAUAAAGACAUAUUUUUGGAACUUCUCCAGAUCGUGGGUCAGUGGACUGCCUGCUGUUUUCUCCAACAUACAAAGUCACUUUUUUUUUCAUCCUGAGACUUGACUUGAAUGGAAUGUGGUUCAUUUUUUCACUAGGGAGUCCUGAUUAUACUUGUCGAAGGGAUAACAUAAAACCACCAAUUUCCCUCUGGGAGCAACUGCAAACUGAUAACUUGCACUAACCUGAGUUUUUUCACAACUGUGUUGGACAGACUGCUCAUUUUUCUUCUGCGUAGUCAACGAUGUUGGUGUUUUAACUUUUCUCCUUUCUUGAUUAGCAGCUAUAAAGAAAGAUCAGAUUUCUGCCAGAGAAAGCCGGCCCAUGGUGGGGCAGAAUAUUCAUUAGCGGCUUUUGCAGAAUGAGAAGUGGAUUAAUCAAAAGCAGCUGGUGAUGUGGGUGGGCCCGUUGUCUUCGGCCAGGGCACUGCAUUUCGAGGGAUGAAGUAUCCUAAUGUGCCUUCUUCUGUUGCUGGAGAUUCUUAGAAUAAUGGCAGGCAAAAUGUGUAAAUGUAUUAAUCGUGGUAGAACGUGAGUGUCACGUAAAUCCUAGAAAACUGUUAACAUGGAAGGAAGGCAGAAGAAGGCAGAUGGAUUUGGGAUACUGUAAAAGCAUCCUGUAAAAAUCUGUACCAAAGUAACUGCUCUUCUUUUUGAACUUCAAACAGAAAGUCUGGGAAGGAACGAGAAUGAUCUACAACUAUCAAUAAAAUACAUUCGUCUGUAAUCCAUAAACAUGGGACAUUGUCUACUGGGAAUGUCCUUUGCAAACUAAAUGUGUUUCA